UGGAAGCUGAUUAUGGGAUGGAUCCCUG
rnacentral:piRNA from 1 species